rnacentral:rRNA from 1 species
UACGGAGGGGGCUAGCGUUGUUCGGAAUUACUGGCGUAAAGCGCGCGUAGGCGGACCUGCAAGUCAGGGGUGAAAUCCUGGAGCUCAACUCCAGAACUGCCUUUGAUACUGGCAACCUUGAGUCCGGGAGAGGUGAGUGGAACUGCGAGUGUAGAGGUGAAAUUCGUAGAUAUUCGCAAGAACACCAGUGGCGAAGGCGGCUCACUGGCCCGGUACUGACGCUGAGGUGCGAAAGCGUGGGGAGCAAACAGG